rnacentral:tRNA from 1 species
GAAAAGUUAGUUUAAUAAAAACAACAAUUUGUCAAAUUGUAAAUAUUGUGUAAAAUACUUUUUU